rnacentral:rRNA from 1 species
GAGGCUGCGUGGCAAGCGACCUCAUAAAGUGCGUGGAGUCGGGAUUGGGGUGCAACUGACUCCAUGAAGUCGGAAUCGCUAGUAAUCGUGGAUCAGAAUGCCACGGUGAAUACGUUCCCGGGCCUUGUACACACCGCCCGUCACACCAUGGGAGUGGGUUGCAAGAAGAAGUAGGUAGCUUAACCUUCGGGAGGGGGCUUACCACUUUGUGAUUCAUGAACUGGGGGG